GACGAACGCUGGCGGCGCGCUUAACACAUGCAAGUCGAGCGAAGCGGCGGACGGGUGAGUCACCCGUGAGUAACCUGCCUUAGACAUUGGGAUAGCCUCGGGAAACCGGGAUUAAUACCAAAUGGUCUAAGAUGGACUCGCGUCCCGUUAGCUAGUUGGUGAGGUACCGGCACACCAAUGCGACGAUGGGUAGCCGGGCUGAGAGGAUGAACGGCAAAAUUGGAACUGAGAAACGGUCCAAACUCUACGGGAGGCAGCAGAGGGGAAUAGGGCACAAUGGAGGGAACUCAGAUGCAGCGACGCGGCGUAAACGAAGAAGGCUGUCGAGUAGUAAAGUUCUUUUAUAUGGGAAGCGGUACCAGAAGAAAAAGCCCCGGCUAACUACGUGCCAGCCGCCGCGGUAAUAC
rnacentral:rRNA from 1 species